rnacentral:rRNA from 1 species
CCUGGCGGCGAGUGGCGAACGGGUGAGUAAUACAUCGGAACGUGCCCUGUGAUGGGGGAUAACUACGCGAAAGCGUAGCUAAUACCGCAUACGACCUACGGGUGAAAGUGGGGGAUCGCAAGACCUCACGUCAUAGGAGCGGCCGAUGGCGGAUUAGCUAGUUGGUAAGGUAAAGGCUUACCAAGGCAACGAUCCGUAGCUGGUCUGAGAGGACGACCAGCCACACUGGGACUGAGACACGGCCCAGACUCCUACGGGAGGCAGCAGUGGGGAAUCUUGGACAAUGGGGGCAACCCUGAUCCAGCAAUGCCGCGUGUGGGAUGAAGGCCUUCGGGUUGUAAACCACUUUUGGCGGGGGCGAAAUAUCGAGUGCUAAUACCAUUCGGUGAUGACGGUACCCGCAGAAUAAGCACCGGCUAACUACGUGCCAGCAGCCGCGGUAAUACGUAGGGUGCAAGCGUUAAUCGGAAUUACUGGGCGUAAAGCGUGCGCAGGCGGUUAGGUAAGACAGAUGUGAAAUUCCCGGGCUCAACCUGGGAACUGCAUUUGUGACUGCCUGACUAGAGUGCGGCAGAGGGGAGUGGAAUUCC